rnacentral:ncRNA from 1 species
CCCGCCCGGGUCCGUGGUUGCGUCGGGGCCGCCGAACUCUUGGUGGCUUCCCGGCAAGCCGAUGCCAGCCGCAGGCGAAACGGCCCACGUAAGGCGACUCCUCGUCGACCGAUCACGGUGCGGCUUAGACGUAAGUCCUGCCUCGGUGGACGGGUCCGAUGCCCGUCGCUCCGGGAGAAGGGGAGUAGUGGCGCGGAUCACCAUGAGGGCCGCGAAACCCUCCGCAGGCGGAUGUGGGGACGAAGACCAGGUCGGCCGGGCGGG